rnacentral:rRNA from 1 species
GCCUACGUCCAUGCUACCCUGAACAAGCAUGAUCUUGUCUGAUUUUGGAAGCUAAGCAGGGUUGGGCUGGUUAGUACUUGGAUGGGAGACCAAAUAGGAAGACGAGGUGCUGUAGGCA